rnacentral:tRNA from 4 species
GCUCUCUUGGCACAGCUGGAUAGCGCAGCCCCCUCCUAAGGGGCAGGUCACAGGUUCGAAUCCUGUAGAGAGCGCCA